GAUGAACGCUAGCUACAGGCUUAACACAUGCAAGUCGAGGGACGGGCGCAGGGGUGUGUAACACGUAUCCAACCUGCCCUUUACUCGGGGAUAGCCUUUCGAAAGAAAGAUUAAUACCCGAUGUAAAGGAUGGGGAUGCGUUGCAUUAGGUUGUUGGUGAGGGACCGUCUCACCAAGCCUUCGAUGGAGAGGGGUUCUGAGAGGAAGGACCCCCGCAUUGGAACUGAGACACGGUCCACACUCGUACGAGAGGCAGGGGUGAGGAAUAAUGGUAAAUGGGCGCUAGCGUGAACCAGCCAAGUAGCGGGAAGGAUGAUGGCGUAUGAAUCGUAAACUUCUGUGAUAUAAGAAUCGGUAUUAGAUGAAUAAGGAUCGGCUAACUCCGUGCCAGCAGCCGCGGUAAUAC
rnacentral:rRNA from 1 species